CUUUAAAUUAAAUUCUAAUUGAAUCCUUACCCUCCAUAUCUAUCUAAUCUAACGGUUGAGAUCAACUUUGCCUAUCUCUUUCUUUAAAACCAAAAGACCAAAACCUAAUCUAAUCUUCAUUUUCUCCUCUCUAAGAAGCGCGGGCAGCAGCUUCUCCAAGUUCCCUUCCUCUCCUAUUCCUCUUCUCCCGCGAAGCAGCGAGCUGCCGAUCGACCCCAAUCACCGUUGAUCUCUCUUCCCGACUUCUUCUUCCCCUCUCCUCCCGCCUUCUUCUUCCUCUCAAUCCUUCUCGCCUUCCUCUUCCUUCCUCUUCUUUGUCUCCCUCAUUUUUUUUUCUCUUUUCUGGUAGGGACAAGUGUAGCAACAGAAACACCACCAGCGGCCGGCCAGUAGCUCCGACAACACCAGCGAAGCAGCUCCGAGAAGAGAGCUAUUGCGAGGACGAAAAUCCAGGCAGCAGCUCCAGCGCCUCCCGCCAGCAAGCAGUUCGCUCGCCCCCUCCCUUUUCCGGUGAAACAACGGACAGCAACUCCGGCUAUGGUCAGCAAUGGCACGAAAUUCGAACUUAGCGUUUGAGAAAUGGCGGAUCUGGACAGAUCCAUCUAGGUUUGUUCUAGUCAAUUAAUUGUUAUUCAUCUCUUAAUACUCUUAGUUGUUGGUCCUUGGCAUGCUCUUGACUUCUAUAUAAAUUGUACUUUUUAUGCAUCUACUUUAUGUGAGUAAAAAAAUGUUUUGAACUGCAUCGUAGAAGGAGCCAUAAUUUUUU
rnacentral:misc_RNA from 1 species